rnacentral:rRNA from 1 species
CCUACGGGAGGCAGCAGUAAGGAAUAUUGGCCAAUGGACGCAAGUCUGAACCAGCUAUGCCGCGUGAAGGAUUAAGGUCCUCUGGAUUGUAAACUUCUUUUAUCUGGGACGAAAAAAGGUCUUUCUAGACCCCUUGACGGUACCAGAUGAAUAAGCACCGGCUAACUCCGUGCCAGCAGCCGCGGUAAUACGGAGGGUGCAAGCGUUAUCCGGAUUCACUGGGUUUAAAGGGUGCGUAGGCGGGUAGGUAAGUCAGUGGUGAAAUCCUGGAGCUCAACUCCAGAACUGCCAUUGAUACUAUCUAUCUUGAAUAUUGUGGAGGUAAGCGGAAUAUGUCAUGUAGCGGUGAAAUGCUUAGAUAUGACAUAGAACACCCAUUGCGAAGGCAGCUUACUACGCAUAUAUUGACGCUGAGGCACGAAAGCGUGGGGAUCAAACAGGAUUAGAUACCCUGGUAGUCCACGCCCUAAACCGAUGGAUACUCGACAUACGCGAUACACUGUGUGUGUCUGAGAGAAGANAUAAGUAUCCACCGUCGGAAGUACGUUCGUCGAGAAGUAGAACGUACGAAAGAAGUUAGUACGGACGUUAGAGACGAGCCGACGGACGACGACGAGGGAGGAGG